rnacentral:rRNA from 1 species
GGGUUGCGCUCGUUGCGGGACUUAACCCAACAUCUCACGACACAAGCUGACGACAGCCAUGCAACACCUGUGUUCGAGUUCCCGAAGGCACCAAUCCAUCUCUGGAAAGUUCUCGACAUGUCAAGGCCAGGUAAGGUUCUUCGCGUUGCAUCGAAUUAAACCACAUACUCCACCGCUUGUGC